CAGAGAGAGCGUGCGGUUAUGUGGGUUUUUUUGCGUGUGUGUGUGCAGCCGCGGUAAUACACGCGCUUCCGCUUCCUCUUCGUCGCCCUUCUUUACCUGCUUUGUUGUUAGCUGUUUUUCGGUGUUCUCUGCAGAUCGCGCGCGCGCGCUCUCGCUCGCUCUGGCUCUCGUGACGGACGACCUUCACGCGCCCUGGUGCACGCGGGUCGUCUGUGUUGUGCGCAGUGGAGCUUGGAUGAGAACAGAAGGCAAAGGAGGAGGAGGACGGGCGGGCAAGUAUCUCGCUUCAUAGACGUUCAACAGACUGCGCCGCAUCUUGGGCGGAAGGAGGUGGGCAGGAGACGGAGUAUCCCUUUCAUGCGCAGGCAGGGAAAAGGCAGAGCACCAUCACCGACGGAGGCACGCAGGCCUACUCGGUCGACCCCUUUGCUGUCCACAUCGGCAGAGCCACCAGAGCAUCUUGAAUAGUCACAGCCCCCUCCCCCUAAUUGUUGCCCUCCCCCUGCCCCAACUUGGGAGAAGCCCGAUCAGCGAGGCUAGCGAGGAUGUCCAUGUACGAGGAAGAUGAGCCAUUCGACUUCGAGGGACGUAGCGGCGGUGUCGGGCACACCGGCGUGGCAAGCCUCGACACGAUCAUGCAGUCACUCAACAAGCGCUACGAAGUAUACCAGCGUAGGCGUACUGCCAUGACGCCGUUCGGCUCGCCAGGUGACCCCUCUAUCCUCGUACCACCCGCCUCGCACUCCAUCCUGGGCGACAGCGCGAUCGUCAGCGGCAUCUCAGUCAACGGCGGCGCUGCAGCGUCGCAGCCGCACGAAUCUCCGAAGGAAUCCAUUGUCUUCCCUCGCGCGCGACCGGCCCCGUACUGGGAAGAGCGAGAGCUCUACAUCGUCGCCGAGGGCCUAUGCUGCUGUCUCAAUGGCGGCAUCAACUACCGGCUUCUGUGCGAGCAGUAUCAGCGGGCACUAGAGGUCCUACUGACGCUAGUGCGCGAAGAUCUGCGUCUGUGCGUGUCGAGCGAUAUGGAGCUGGUGCCAGGCGGCAUGGCGAAGUCGUUUCUUGCGAAGCUCAAGGCGCUCUUGCAGGAAUCCAAGCGCAUGCUGGGCGAAGCAGGAGUGAACGUAUCACCCCGGUUGGAGGCCAUGAUUGAGCAGCUGGCCAGCGGCAGCAACAUCAGCAGUAGUAGCGGCGGUGCUAGUCAUGCCUCCCUGCACGCUGGCCACAACACCGCAGCCGCUGCUUCGUCAAGCCGCGGAGCGACCACACCGCCCGCAACGUCGAUGGCAUUCUACGCCGGACGUACCCCAAACUCGCCCACGAUGUCGAACAGGCGACCCACGGGCACGAGCGGUGGCGGAGAGUCUGUAUUCGCGACGCCCCCCACCGCCGCGAACCACAGCGGCAACCUCCCCAGUCUGUACGCGCAGUCGUAUUACGCUGUGCCACCACACAGGCGCCCACCUUCGGCAGGCAUGCGCAGUGUCAACACCCGCGAAGGCGAGGUGGACGGCGGUAUCGCGGCGGCUGCCAGACGACGGCCACCAAUGGCUCCGCCAAGCCGCCCGCAUCUAGCGUCCCCCGACAACGGAUACCUGCAGCUCGGUCACCCUUGCGGUGGCAACGGAGAUGGGUUGCCACGGCAGCAGCAGCAGCAGCAGCAGCAGCCGGCGGCGUCGUCGUCGUCCUUCGGGCACUUCCCCUCCGCGGGUGUUUGUAGCAGCACGCCGAACUUGGCGAACAUCGUGGACAACCCGGUUGAGGGCCGCGGCAGAGCAGGCGGGGAAGGUGUCGGUGAUGCAGAUGUACGCAGCUCGCAUGAAGAUGGCGGCAGCAUCAAGCGAAGCGGUGUUGGUUACCUGAAUUCUUGGUUCUCGGGGGCCGCUCUGACACCGAAAAUCAGUGGCAAGGCGUCCCCCAUCACCCCAGCCGGACGUCCCCUUCAGCGCCAAGCACCGCCGCAGCUAGCGCCGGCAACCGUGAAGCAGCGUACCGUUACCGAGAGCACGUCGCCCAUUCCCGCCACGCCCCCGUCGGAUGGCGGCGUGCCAGGCGUUCAUGGAUACUCCCACGCAGCUAUAGGGGACAGAGUUGUUGGCAGCAGCUCAGCCGUGAAGAUGCAAGCCGAUCUGCUGGCCGCAGAGGUACUUGGCGAAGACGCGAACGAAACGUUUGCCGCCCCAGCUCGGGUGCAUGGUCGCCUUCGGCAGCUGGAGGCGCUCUACGGGGAGUUUUACGCGAUGGACGGCAUGACCCUGCUCAUCGAUGCUCUCGGCGUCGUCUUCACCCGCGAGUACGACCAAGGAACAUCGCAGCAACCCAAAAGCGCCUUCGCCGCCUUCCAGCAGGAUGUGAACGGGAAGGUCAUGCCAGUCCUGCAGUCGUGCGAGAGUCUGCAGCUCUACAUCACCGACCUACAACCGCUGCGGAGCUCCUACCUCGCGAGCUGUCUGGCGCACCACGUGCGGCCCAACAGCACGGUCCUCGACGACCUCAAGAGCAUUGAUAAAGACCGCUCUGUGGAGACGAUGCACUUGGAAGGGCUGCACCUGGGCGACCGCGGUGUGGUGGCGUUCGCCGAGAGCGUCUUGCCUCGGCUGUACCGGCUGCGUUGGCUGGACCUCAGCAACAAUGAUGUGAAUGAUAGCACGCUUGAGCCGCUCCUCCGCUCCAUUCGCUACCACCCUUCGCUGGAGCGCCUGAACCUCUCACGCAACCCGCUGACCGACAGCGCUCUGCCGCUCCUGCUGCGCAUCGCCCAGACGUUGCCGCGGCUAUCAGUGCUGCUGCUGCAGAGCUGCUCCAUGAAGCCGGCAACGCGGCAGAUGGUGGAAGCAGAAGUGGCAGUCUCCGGCACGUGCGCGAUGCCAGUGGCCGCGCACCGGUGCAGUUCAAAGCCCCCCACUCGCUCCAGCAGUGUCAGCAUCGCGCUGAAGAGAGUAACCGCAGCCUCAGAACCGCUACCGGGACCGCCUUCGGGUCUGCCACGCCUGGCACCCCCACGAAGCGAGCGGCGACCCCGGUGACUCAAGUCCGCGGUGUGCGCUGAAGCGGUAUCUAGCUCGCGCAGCAAGACCAUCAAAGCAAGACUGCGCUCAGGGCAACGUUCCCGAGCAGCAUGAAGAGUGAGGGCCUCCACGGUGCCCAUCCGGUCUGGUCCGAGGGCGCUCUCAUGCACGCCCUUGUCGGCCCGCUCGCCGCCCGGCCGUGUGAUGCCUGGGGCCGGAGCAAACAGAGAGGGAUGGGGAAGGGAGGCGUCGACUGGAGAGGGCUGCUGCUCCACUGGGUGCCGUCAAGGCGAAGAUGCCCCGUUGUUGAGGAGGCGCACAGGGAGCGGGGGAAGGGGAGGGGGCUCAGCUUCUCUGUUUCGCACCUCUCUACUCGCCCGCGCCUGUCUCACCCACACACUCUCUUUAUCUCACUUCGCUCCUCCUCGAGGGCCCUCGGCGGUAUGUGUGGGGUGUGUGGCGUGUCUAGGGGAGGCGGGGUGGCGGUCUCCCCUGGAAGGUGAGGUGUAAUGCGUCUGUAUGGACGUCGCCAAUAUAAAAUAUUUCUUUUUCGUCUGCGUGUGUUGAUGUGGUUCGCAUUUGCCGAGCAUCGUUGUCUUCCUCCUCCCUCACACUUUCUCAGUAGCAGGCCCUCUUCCCCACCCCGUCCUCAGCAUCCCUCGAUGCAAUACAUGUGUAGAUGUAUAUAUCAUAUAUAUAUUUGUGUGUGUGCGCGUGUGAUGUCACGGCCUGCUCCUUGUUGAAGGGAGGCCCAUCCGUAUAUACGGAUCUUGCGUACAUGCGCAGAGCAUGUGCAAGGUGCCCGAGUGCGAUCUAUUCGCACGGAAUGUGCCCACCAAAGGUAGAGAGCUCAAGCGAGAGUGUGUAGAAGGACUGAAGUACAACAACGGACAUGUCUUCGUGGGUGAGGGGUAGGUGGCAGAGGCGGAUGUGCUGCUCUUCAGCGCCGCUGCCGCCCUCCCCCCGCCAUCCUCCUCCGCUUGUGCGUCACCAUCACAGCUGAAUCCACGUGCCCUCCGGCCCUUUAAACGCGCUCACGCACACUCCUCCUCCUCACCAUCACCACCACCCCCUCCGCCGCGCCACCAAAAUCCUUUCAG
rnacentral:misc_RNA from 1 species